AGAGUUUGAUCCUGGCUCAGAACGRACGCUGGCGGCGUGGAUAAGACAUGCAAGUCGGACGCUUAUUUCGAGGUAGCAAUAUUUCGGAGUAGGAGUGGCGUAAGGGUGCGUAACACGUGGGCAAUUUGCCAUGAAGUUGGGGAUAACUCCGAGAAAUCGGAGCUAAUACCGAAUGUAACAGCCGGAGGGCAUCCUCUGGUUUUCAAAGUCGGGGACCGCAAGGCCUGACGCUUCAUGAUAAGCCCGCGGCCUAUCAGCUAGUUGGUGAGGUAACGGCCCACCAAGGCUAAGACGGGUAGCUGGUCUGAGAGGACGACCAGCCACACUGGAACUGAGACACGGUCCAGACACCUACGGGUGGCAGCAGUCGAGAAUUUUUCACAAUGGGCGAAAGCCUGAUGGAGCGACGCCGCGUGGGGGAUGAAUGGCUUCGGCCCGUAAACCCCUGUCAUUUGCGAGCAAUGGUUUUUUGUUAACAGCGAAAAACUUGAUAGUAGCGAAAGAGGAAGGGACGGCUAACUCUGUGCCAGCAGCCGCGGUAAUACAGRGGUCCCGAGCGUUGUUCGGAUUUACUGGGCGUAAAGGGUGCGUAGGUGGUAGGGUAAGUUUGAUGUGAAAUCUCCGGGCUUAACCCGGAAAAUGCAUUGAAUACUAUCUUGCUAGAGAGUUGUAGGGGGGACUGGAAYUCUCGGUGUAGCAGUGAAAYGCGUAGAUAUCGAGAGGAACACCAGUGGCGAAGGCGAGUCCCUGGACAACUUCUGACACUGAGGCACGAAAGCUAGGGGAGCAAACAGGAUUAGAUACCCUGGUAGUCC
rnacentral:rRNA from 1 species